UUACGACCACAUCACGUUGAAACACCGGUUCCCGUAUGAUCACUGAAGUUAGGCAACGUCGAACCUGGUCAGUACCUAGAUGGGUGACCACUUGGGAAUGCCAGGUUCUGUAA